UACGUAGGGUGCGAGCGUUGUCCGGAAUUACUGGGCGUAAAGAGCUCGUAGGUGGUUUUGUCGCGUUGUCCGUGAAAACUCACAGCUCAACUGUGGGCGUGCGGGCGAUACGGGGCAGACUGGAGUACUGCAGGGGAGACUGGAAUUCCUGGUGUAGCGGUGAAAUGCGCAGAUAUCAGGAGGAACACCGGUGGCGAAGGCGGGUCUCUGGGCCGAUA
rnacentral:rRNA from 1 species